rnacentral:rRNA from 1 species
GAUGAACGCUGGCGGCGUGCUUAACACAUGCAAGUCGAACGAGAACGGAUUAUAGCUUGCUAUAAUUGUCAGCUAAGUGGCGCACGGGUGAGUAAUGUAUAGGUAAUAUGCCUCUUACUAAGGGAUAACAAAUGGAAACGUUUGCUAAUACCUUAUACUCCUUAUUAACAGAAGUUAAUAAGGGAAAGAUUUAUUGGUAAGAGAUUAGCCUGUAUUGUAUCAGUUAGUUGGUGGGGUAAUGGCCUACCAAGACUAUGACACAUAACUGGUUUGAGAGGAUGAUCAGUCACACUGGAACUGAGACACGGUCCAGACUCCUACGGGAGGCAGCAGUGGGGAAUAUUGCACAAUGGACGAAAGUCUGAUGCAGCAACGCCGCGUGGAGGAUGACACAUUUCGGUGCGUAAACUCCUUUUAUAUGAGAAGAUAAUGACGGUAUUAUAUGAAUAAGCACCGGCUAACUCCGUGCCAGCAGCCGCAGUAAGAC